rnacentral:rRNA from 1 species
UACGUAGGGGGCGAGCGUUGUCCGAAGUUACUGGGCGUAAAGGGCGCGUAGGCGGAUCAGCAAGUUGGGGGUGAAAGCCCGGGGCUCAACCUCGGAACUGCCUUCAAAACUGUUGAUCUUGAGUAUGAGAGAGGUGUGUGGAACUCCGAGUGUAGAGGUGAAAUUCGUAGAUAUUCGGAAGAACACCAGUGGCGAAGGCGACACACUGGCUCAUUACUGACGCUGAGGCGCGAAAGCGUGGGGAGCAAACAGG